UACGUAGGGGGCAAGCGUUGUCCGGAAUUAUUGGGCGUAAAGCGCGCGCAGGCGGUCAUGUAAGUCUGGUGUUUAAUCCCGGGGCUCAACCCCGGAUCGCACUGGAAACUGCGUGACUUGAGUGCAGAAGAGGAGAGUGGAAUUCCACGUGUAGCGGUGAAAUGCGUAGAGAUGUGGAGGAACACCAGUGGCGAAGGCGGCGCACUGGACCAUAACUGACGCUGAGGCGCGAAAGCUAGGGGAGCAAACAGG
rnacentral:rRNA from 1 species